rnacentral:lncRNA from 1 species
UUCUUUUUGAGGUAAUCAUAUUAUACCCACGUGACUGCGAACAACAGGUCAGGUGGAGGCCUUCAUCCGUAAUUAGCAACUAGAUGACCAGUUGCGCCCAUGGCGCAAAAAGCGAGAUCAAGCCCAUGCACAUGUGACUGAUUUAGAACCAACUUCAUGGAUACUUAUAUCCCAUUAAUUACAAUAUAGAUGAUACCAUGAUAGACUAAAAGGAAGUAAUAAGAUCGCUUGAUAAUAGCAUACAUUGGUUUACCCGUUGUGCCGAUGGUGCAAAGGGCGAGAGGGAACCAAGCAAGAGUGUUUAUAGAAUAUUUAGAUACGAUGUUCAAACAUAGUGUUAUAUAUUCCAUUGCAUGGAACCAAGAUGGCUGAAAACAAAGUCAUGAGACCAACUCAUGAUAGAAAGCAAGCUGGAUUACAUAGCUCCAUCUGCAUUGGUAUUUCCACACCAAUUUAAAAAGAUGUUUCAUCUACUUUAUAUUAUGAAGUACUGGAGCUGAAAGGAUAAGGUGACGCAGAGCACAUUAUAUGGUCGAGAAAAGUAGUGCAUGACCUAGGUCUUGAAGCUGAGCUAUAUUAUGAGAUAAUGGCAGUGGUUGCUCAUGACGCUAUCAAAGGGAGUGCAGGAUGAUAUGAGUUCUCCCGCCAAUUCCUCAAAGGCAAAUGCAUAUGACACUCCUCCUUUCAUAUUUGCGAUGUCAAAGAACUGAGUCCAGCUUCUUGUGAUUGUAUGAUAAGCCGAGCAAUGACGAUGGCAGGUCUGUUUCCAGCUUUGAUUAGCAAAUUAGUAUGCUCUUCAUGCAUGUGCCCCUUGGGAUAUUCUUGUGUGAAGUGAGUGGAAAAGUACUGCAAUAGAUAUUAAGCAUGGUUAAGAUGCAGCUAUGAAGAUUCAUAAAAAGGAGAAAGGACAGGAACAGAAUACCAUUUGUUGACCACUUGUUGCGAACAUCUUGUUCAUGGUACAGACAUAGUAGGAAGAGAAAUUUUGUUUCCGUCUAGUAUUAAGCUGUUCAGAGUGUCAACAUGCUGUUUGUAUAGUGUUACCUCAUUCCCAAACAAGAAAAUAGUAGCUCAGCUCAUCUAUGUACCCAUGAAUGCGCACAUCUAUUUAAUUUGAAGGCUAAUUUAAUUAUCAUGCCUAAAUGUGGUAUAAAUGGGGCGACACCGUUAGCUUCUUACCACGGAUAAUGCAUUUUACAUCAUCCAGAGUGGUCCCCUGCGUGCAUAUUCAGUUACUGGGCAAUAUGAUGCCAAAUCUACACAGAGAAAAAAAAUGGCUAUUACUUCAUACCUCCUACACAUCCAGAGUGAUCCUCCUGUGUGCAUAUUCAGUUAAUGUGUCACAAAAUAACAUGAUGCCAAAUGAUAAGCAUGUAUGAGGAAAAUUAAAAUGUUCAAUAAAGAUUUCUCUAAAGGGCAUAUGAUGCAAACUUUGAGAACAACAGGACUUCCAACUCGCUGGAACUGUAGUCGCACACAUGAACAUACUAUGCUUCAAGUACCAGAAAGACAGUAGAACACAUGGAAACAAACAUGUGGAUACCAAUCGCUUAUUCAGGCAGAGUAAGAAGCCUAUACGCAAUAAUGAACGGUGGUCUGAUUAAAGAAGAUCAGGUGUUGGGGAAAAUAUACCUUGUCGUCGCUGAAAUUUCACUUGGAGGCAUCUAUGGCGACUUGAUGUGGCGUGCAUGAAAUCUUCUUUGGUAAUAGGCAAGUAAAAGUCACAUUUUAGUUUUGAAGCAAGCAGACAAAGUCUGUGAAUAUAUAUUAUAGUCCAUGCAAAGCAGACAAGAUCCACGUAUUAGCAAUUUAUUAAAACAGGAAAAAAAUCAGCAUAUACAUUUCCACGCAUUAACAUCUAACCAACUAAAAACCAAAGAGAGGAAAUCGAAAACUUCUAUUUUUUGGCCUGACAACAUUGUCACCAAAGACUGGGAAGCAUGGAUUGCAUGCGCCAAUAAAAAUUUACCAGGCAAAAAAUAAGACGUAUCAUUUUCCAUCAACACUUAUAUACCAGUUAAAAAGCAUGAUCCAAUGGUCUUAGUAGUAAACAACUCGGAUAGAAGCAUAGGCUAAUGUGAGGCAGUUACACAUGCCGCAAAAGCAUCCUAAAGACGGAUGUUUUUCACGCAAGCUAUAUUAGUAGAGAAACUAUUGCUCAGCUUUGUAAAUCGUAACCAGAAAAAGGAAAGAGAAGCCUAUGAAAAAUUGCACAGGAGCACAUAUUAACAGAAGGAAAAUCCGACUAAAAUAUAAAAUCCUAUAACUUAGUCCUAGAAUCCUUUCGUAUAAGGAGUGAAGAAAUGUUUGUAGUCUCAAGAGCCUCGUCGGUACGAAAUCUUUCAACUAUUUUGUUACCCGUGUCAAUAUCCCUCAGUUCCAGCGGCUGCAAUCAAGAGUCAAGAAUAAAUCAGAUUGGUAAUAAAACAAAUGACAAAUUUAAGCUCCAGUUAAGUCAAGCAUAUAUAAAAAAACAUGCCCCUGAACUUAAUUUUCGUCAUUUGGGGGAUGUAUAGCAUGGAACUGCAGAUAUGCCAAUGGGGAGUUCUAAUUCAGAGCAUCCCUGAAUAAAGAGUGUGCAGUAAGAAAUGAUAGCAGUAUUUAUACUCAGGGUCGCCGGAGACAUGCAUCGAAGGAAAUAUGUGCAUUGCACCACCAUAUUUCUUGGCUGACUCAACCAAGUCACAUACUUUCUCCUGCUACCGACGUCUGUGUUACUACAAGGGGAAGAAAAAAGUUCAACUAUUACCACUCCACUUUCAGUAUAUAUACGGUGCCAACAACUUGGCAUAGAACCUAAUGUUUUUCUGUGAGUUCAUGGAUCGGCCAUUGGGAGAAUAUUACAGGGUGGAGGCAUAAGGAGAAUAAUCAAAUAGCAAGACUGUACAAGAAAAUAUGCUGCAACUUGCAACUCAUGAAAUUCUGUUUAAAUUUAUAGGUCAUAUUUGAUGCAUAGGAAGCACAGGUAAAUACAGAAGUUCAGCUUCAAGCCACUCAUCAAAUAUGGGGGACCUCCCUUGCUAUGCCCAGACCAACAAAAAUUGAACUGUCGAUACAACCGGACUGACAAAAUGAACUAUUGAAAGGGAAACCUACUAUUUUUUUUGCAGAACAUUUUCAAUUUGACAAUGCAAAAAGUAGUAAACACCACAAGAUGUGAUUUUUUUCCCAUUCCUCAAUCGAGAGUAACGAUCAACAACCAGCUCAUGUUGCAAAUAUAUUUCAAUUGAACAAAGCAGGCUACAUCCAGCAAUAACUUGACCUAAGUUUCUACUUGUGACCUUUUAUAGUGGUUGUUUAUGCCAUGAACAAUAAGGAGUGGAAAUUAAUAUAUCCCGAACCAAUAUUUCGAAAUUUGUAGAGGCCAAGUAAUUCAUUAAUCUAAUGUUUCCUGGUGAGACACACCAUUCAUCCAUAGCAGGUUAGGCAAGCAAGCUUAACUAACCUACUGCAAUGGCCACUGCUGCACCACGAGCGUCGGGGAAGACGUCCAGGGAAGAAGGCGGCGGCGCGAGAGGCCGUGGGGCCGGAGGGUCGAGGAGCGGGGGAGGCUGGAGAUGCUGAACGGCGCGGACUCGAAUGGGGCUCGAGGAAGGGAAGGAUUGAUCCUUUGUGCGCUAGGUUUUCGGGACGCAUUAGUGCCUUUCGUGCUGGACAAAAUAACUUGCAAAUCAAAAUCUGUAUAACUUUACUCCUGAACCUGGCCAACAUUAAUUAGCAUGGCCCCUUUUGCUCAUAUUUGUACAUUUAGUCGGCAAACCUUUCCGAAAUUGUAUCUGAAAGAAGCUGCUACUGUCUUUUGCUUGUUCUCGCAAAGAAUUAAAUCCAUAGUAUGCCAAGAAGCUAUGAAAAUUUUGCAAUUGCUUCAAAGAAUAUAAUACAUUGCAGAAAUAAAAUACUCUAUCAGAGAGUUGGCAGGCGAGGUAGUAGGAACAAGAGCAAGAACUAACUUUGAGAGGAGAUGGGCAGACUCUUGCAUCGUGCCCUGGCUGACACCUACGCUUACGCCAUGCCUCAUGUAUCCAUUCCUCAUUCCUCUGUGCUGUGAUAGAAAUUCAGAAUGGCAAAUAAAAGUAUUCUUAGAUAGCAGCCUUCAUUUCUUAUCCUUUAGUAGGCACAUUUGAUUCUGAAGGAAGAUGGAAAAUAUGCAUAUAGCAAGGAAUAGUAAAAAGAUGUUCUUUCAAACUUGCAUGGCUAUUUGUUUUUUCUGUAAACAUGCCAAUCUACUGCCAUCUCGCUGGCCUUAAUUUCUUACCUUUUCAUAGAUGCAAAUUUGAUUUUGAGCAAGUAGAGAAGCAAUAUACGAUAGCAUACAUCAAGAAAUAGUAGAUGAAUGUUCUUUUCAGCCUUAAUUCUUUUCAGCAUAUAUACGACCAUCGUUUUUUCCUGUAAAUACACUGAUGUACUACCAUCUCAUUGCAAAUUGUUAGACGUAUUAGGGUUUGGAACAAUGCUCGAUACCCUUGGUGGGUACGGCUGUCAUAUAUUUAUAGGAGGGAACCGUACAAAUACAAGUUGUGUUACAACACGUAUAUCUAAUAUAUACUUAGUCUAACACCCUCCCUCAAUCUUAACUAUGUCCUGAAACACUCAGAAGGUUAAGAUUGCGACGACAUCCUUCAAAAGAAGGCAAGGGCAAGGGUUUAGUGAAAAUAUCAGCAAGCUGAUCCUUCGAAGAAAUAAACUUAAUCUGAAGGAGCUUCUGAGCAACACGUUCCCUCACAAAAUGAUAGUCAACUUCGAUGUGCUUCGUUCAGGCAUGAAAUACUGGAUUGGACGAAAGGUAUGUUGCAUUAUCACACCAAAGAACAGGCGACUGAGUUGGGGAGACCUUCAACUCUCGAAGCAAUGACUGCACCCACAUGAUCUCAGCUGUGGCAUUAGCAACAGCUUUGUACUCAGCUUCGGUACUACUCCGGGACACCGUAGCUUGCUUGCGAGCUUGCCAGGCGAUCAAGUUAGGCCCAAAGAACACAGCAUGUCCCCCCGUGGAUCGCCGAUCAUCAGGACAACCAGCCCAGUCAGCAUCAGAGAAUGCUGAGAUCAGUCCAGAACGCGCAGGCUGAAGAUGGAGACCAUAUGACCCAGUGUGACGAACAUAGCGCAAGAUGCGCUUAACAGCUGACCAGUGAGAAUCACGUGGUGCAUGAAGAUACUGGCACACACGGUUAACUGCAAAUGAUAUGUCUGGUCGAGUAAUGAGCAAGUACUGCAGUCCACCCACAAUGCUGCGGUACUCUGUGGCAUCCUCAGGAGCAAGCAAGUCACCAGCAAGAGCUGUCAGUUUGUCUGUAGCAGACAUGGGAGUCAUAGCAGACUUGCACUGCAACAUACCGGCACGACGCAGGAGAUCCUGAGAGUACUUCUUCUGAGUAAGAGUCAAGCCACCAUCAGAAUGAAGAACCUCUAGGCCCAGAAAAUAAUGCAGUCUCCCAAGAUCCUUAACAGCAAACUCAGCACCAAAAGAGGACACAAGCCGGUCUGUAGCAGAAGCAGACGAACUGACAAGGAUGAUGUCAUCAACAUAUACCAGAAUGUACAUAGUCACCUCAGGUCGCUGUAGAACAAACAGAGACGUGUCUGCUGUAGAAGGAACAAACCCGUGCGCACGAAGAGCAGCGCCAAGACGGGCAUGCCAUGCACGCGGGGCCUGCUUCAAACCGUAGAGAGCUUUGACAAGAUGACAUAAAUGAUGUGGCUGAGCAGGGUCAACAAAACCUGGCGGCUGACGCAUAUAAACCUCUUCUUCCAGAACUCCAUGGAGAAAGACAUUCUGAACAUCAAGCUGUCGAAGCGACCAUCCGCGAGUAACAGCCAAAGAGAGAAGAACACGAAUAGUAGUUGGUUUAAUAACAGGACUGAAUGUGUCUUCAUAAUCAAUGCCAUACCGUUGUUUGAACCCCUUGGCAACCAGGCGUGCCUUGUACCUCUCAAUGGAGCCAUCAGCAUGUCUCUUCACCUUGAAUACCCAUUUAGAGUCAAUGAUAUUAACACCAGAUGGAGGUGGAACAAGACGCCAAGUAUUGUUUCUUUGAAGGGCAUGAAUCUCCUGCUCCAUCGCAGCACGCCAAUGCGGGAUGCCAAGCGCCGCUCGAAAAUGUCGUGGUUCAGUCGUAGGGUCAGCUUCAGCAUGUGCCACACACGCCGCAAGCCAUGCGACAGUGCCGUCAGUGCGCUUCUUCGGUUGGAAGAUGCCACUUUUGCUACGAGUAUGGGGACGCAGGACGACAGGCGGAGGUGGCGCUAGAGCUGCCAUACCAGAGGAGCCACUAUCCAUCAGCGGCGAGGAGGACGCACCGGCGGGCGAGUCAACAGGCGCAUCCGGUGGCACGGUCAGGGUCGGCGAAGACAGACCGGGCGUGAUCGGCGUCGACGGACCAGGCGACGAAGACUCGGUGACCUGCGAG